AACUCGCCUACAUGAAGCUGGAAUUGCUAGUAAUCACAGGUCAGCAUACUGUGGUGAAUACGUUCCCGGGCCUUGUACACACCGCCCGUCACACCAUGAGAGUUGAGAAUACCCGAAGCCCAUGUCAAAGUGGUCGAAGGUAGGCUUGAUGAUUGGGGUGAAGUCGUAACAAGGUACC
rnacentral:rRNA from 1 species